ensembl:miRNA
UCAGUCAGGCUCCUGGCUAAUGUCCAGCUAUUACCUGGAUUUAGCCCAAUUCUGGCUCUUA